AUUGAACGCUGGCGGCAGGCCUAACACAUGCAAGUCGAGCGGAGCGGCGGACGGGUGAGUAAUGCUUAGGAAUCUGCCUAUUAGUGGGGGACAACAUCUCGAAAGGGAUGCUAAUACCGCAUACUACUUGAUGAGCCUAAGUCGGAUUAGCGAGUUGGUGGGGUAAAGGCCUACCAAGGCGACGAUCUGUCGCGGGUCUGGGAGGAUGAGCCGCCACACUUGGACUGGGACACGGCCCAGACUCCUACGGGAGGGAGCAGUGGGGAAUAUUGGACAAUGGGGGGAACCCUGAACCAGCCAUGCCGCGGGGGUGAAGAAGGCCUUAUGGUUGUAAAGCACUUUAAGCGAGGAGUCGUUACUCGCAGAAUAAGCACCGGCUAACUCCGUGCCAGCAGCCGCGGUAAUAC
rnacentral:rRNA from 1 species